rnacentral:lncRNA from 10 species
GAAGGAAAGAGUGGGGACAGUUGGCUGCCUGUGCAACUCUCCAGACUAGAAAGAGACCAUUACACAUGUUGUAAAGCCCAGAGGAAUAGUUUUCUGCACAUCUUGCCUGGCAAGUGCUCUUCUACAAUGUAAAACAAACUUCUCUGAAGUACAGAACUUGGUAAUAGCUAAACCCCGCUUGAAAGUAGAAAACGAAGUUCCAGAAAUAGAAGAAGGGCUUGGAAACAAGUAUAAAGUGCCAAAAAAGAGGUAUCAUCAGCAGGAAGAGGGUGAGGACGCACCUGGAAGCCACACACAUUGGAGGACACAGGUUCUUCACUGCAAGUCUGUGAAGCCCAAUAAAAGAAGCUUUGGUGAAAAAGGUAGCCUGUUCAGGACACAGCAGAAUGUGAUUUUUCACUUCUGAAGAAAAGGGAAAUUUGGACACAGAACCAGAGAGGACAGUGCUGUGGACACGCAGACACAGGGAAGAAGCCAGGCGAAGGCAGAGGCAGAGGCUGGAGGCAAGCAUCUACAAGCCAACGGACGGCAAGGAUUUCCAGCCACCACCAGAAGCUGGGGAAGAAGCCGACAACAGAUUCUCUCAGAGCCUCCAGUUAGAACCAAUCAACCUUGGUUUUGGCCCUUUAGCAUGACAAACUGUAAAAACAAUAAAUUCUGUCUUAGGCCAUCCAAUCUUAAGUACUUUGUUAUAACAGCCCUAGGAAACUAACACAGAUUAGGGGGCAAACGGAGAUGGCCUAGACAAAAUAAUUAAGGU